AGGAGGUUGGCUUAGAAGCAGCCAUCCUUUAAAGAAAGCGUAAUAGCUCACUAGUCGAGUCGGCCUGCGCGGAAGAUGUAACGGGGCUCAAACCAUACACCGAAGCUACGGGUAUCACGUAAGUGAUGCGGUAGAGGAGCGUUCUGUAAGCCUGUGAAGGUGAGUUGAGAAGCUUGCUGGAGGUAUCAGAAGUGCGAAUGCUGACGUGAGUAACGACAAUGCGAGUGAAAAACUCGCACGCUGAAAGACCAAGGGUUCCAGUCCAACGUUAAUCGGGGCUGGGUGAGUCGACCCCUAAGGCGAGGCCGAGAGGCGUAGUCGAUGGGAAAUUGGUUAAUAUUCCAAUACUUCUGUGUAAUGCGAUGAGAGGACGGAGAAGGUUAAGUCAGCCUGGCGUUGGUUGUCCAGGUGGAAGGUUGUAGGCAUGUAUCUUAGGCAAAUCCGGGGUAC
rnacentral:rRNA from 1 species